CGGCGAGAUCGGUAUGGUCUCUGGAAUUCCAGAGGAACACCUUACCAGAAGGGUUGUAAUUUACUCUCCAGCUAGAACUGCAUCCCAACAAGGAUCAGGCAAGGUUGGCAAGUGGAAAAUCAAUUUUAUGUCAACACAAAAGUGGGAAAACCCAUUGAUGGGGUGGACUUCUACUGGGCACCCCUAUGCCAAUGUAGGGGAUUCUGCACUGUCUUUUGAUAAUGAAGAAGCUGCAAAGG
rnacentral:misc_RNA from 1 species